CAGGAUGGUCUCGAUUUCCUGACCUUGUGAUCCGCCUGUCUCGGCCUCCCAAAGUGCUGGGAUUACAGGCUUGAGCCACCGCGCCCGGCCUCACCUCACCAUUAACUAGAGUCAUUGACUGUUACACCUGCAGGCUGAACAUACCUCCCCAGGAUGAAGUGUGAGUCCUCAGCAUCCCAGGGAGGUUAGUGUCCUCCUGAGGAGCUCCAGCCUAGGGGGUGCCUCCACGUCCAGUCUGGAGCCGCCUCCCCACUCCCGCUCCCCAGGGCCCAGCACGUUCAGCCGUCAUGAGUGUCCCAGCUAGAGUCAACCAGCAGAGGAUGUUUAGUGUCUCACUGUGCCUUCAGAAAUGCUCCCCACCCUCGGGAAUUCCAAUGCCCACUUCUCUGUCCUGCCGCACUCCUCCUCGUUGCCUAUCUCUGUUCAGAUGCCCCAGCGGAUCACCGUUCAGUAGACAUCUACCAGGCACUCCCUGUUCGGGGGUGAGUGUUGGCUAUGGAGUUAGCCACCAGGAGCCUGCCUCCUGCUGACUGGGCAAUCUGGGCAAGUUAUUUAGUUUCUCUGCCUCAGUUCUUCUUAUCCGUAAAAUGGGGAUAGGAAUGGCACCUUCCUCAAGGGUGUUGGUGAGGGUUAGACCAGUUGAUAUGCUAAGUGCUUAGAACUCAUUAACCCCCUGGGACAUCUCAGCUGCUGCUGUUGUCUGUCAGUCUAGGAGGCUAAGGGAUCUGCUUUCAUGGAGGGAUGAAGUGACUGUCUAAAACCUGCUGCAGAUAGAGCUUCGGCUUUAGCCUCUGUAUUAAGCGUGACCCAUGGGGGUAUGGGUUGGAUGGUGGUCGACUUACUUUUUUGCUGGCUUCCUCCCAACAUGACAGCCUGAGGGCAGCUAAAUUGCCCACUUGGUGGCCUGUGAGUCACAAACUCACCCAGGUUCAAAAGGAGGAGAAUUACACUCCAGACUUUUUGUUUUUGUUUUUGUUUUUGAGACAGGGUCUCGCUCUGUCAUCCAGGCUGGACUGCAGUGCUGCGAUCUCAGCUCAUUGCAACCUCCGCCUCCUCACACCUGGCUAAUUUUUGUAUUUUUGGUAGAGACAGGGUUUCACUGUGUUGUCCAGGCUGUAAACUCUAGACUUUGAUGGGGCAGUGGAAAGGUGGGAAAUUGGAAAGGUGGAAAGUGGAAGGGUAUAUGGGACAGGAGGCACUGCUGCAGCCACCUUUUGGGAGAUACAGUCCGCCACAGAUGAUAGCUCUCCCGUCCGCUGGGAGGGUUAUGGCUGUGAAGCAACUGGAAUAUCCUUUUCUGUUUUUUGUUUUUUUUAAAGAGAUGGGGUCUUACCCUGUCACCCAGCCUGGAGUGCAGUGGUGCAAUCAUGGCUCACUGCAGCCUUGAUCUCCUGGGGUCAAGCAAUCCUCCUUCCUCAGCCUCCCAGAUAGCUGGGACUACAGGCUUGAGCCACCACAUCUGGUGCCUGGAAUAUCUUACCUGCCCAUAAGGAAUCUCUGUGGUGACCACAGCUGCACCAUUGCAGGUUGGCUGACCACAUCUGUCCCUUCUCUUCCUAUCCCACCUCGGUGCAAGUCGCACCGUGUUUAUGGUCCACAGGAAUCAGCUCACAGGAGACAGCUGGACAAGCCAAGAAUCCAUUGGUCCACAUGGGGUGGCCAACCAUUAGGUGGAGAGCAGUGAAUGGAGCAGUGAGCCCAGGCCAGUAGAGACGGGGUUUCUCCGUGUUAGCCAGGAUGGUCUCCAUCUCCUGACCUCGUGAUCCACCCACCUCGGCGGAUCUGGGAUUACAGGCGUGAGCCACCGCGCCCGGCCAAGCAGGAGGUGAUUAACGAACACCAGAGUCUCAUUCUGUUGCCAGGCUGGGCUCACUGCAGUCUCCAUCUCCCGGGU